GUCAGGAUAGCUCAGGUUGGUAGAGCAGAGGACUGAAAAUCCUCGUGUCACC
rnacentral:tRNA from 1 species